AUGCCGCCGUAGAGGUUCCGACC
rnacentral:siRNA from 1 species